UCUCCCAUACCUUCCACUGGCACUGGCUACCUCAUCUCACUCAGAACCUGGCACUCUAGAACCUCAGGCCAAGUGACAUCAUCACAGUGUCCUGUUACCUUGACAACCAACCUCAGCAUCUUGAGAUGGCUGCCAUUCUCUUAUAUCUCUCUCCAUUGCCAGCACCAGAACAGAUCAACAAUUAGUCCUGGAAAUGCCUUGUAUGCUCAGAGAGGUCAUUGUUGGGUUGUGUGUAUGUGCUUGUGGAGGUCAGAGGACAACCUGAACUCUUGCUCUCAGUAACUUAGAAUCUAUGUUAAAAUGUCUCUUGGCACCAGCCUGCCCGAUGAUCAGAGUAUGAUGCCAGGAUACACAAGUUGGAAGAAAAGAACCAACCCCAAAUGGCUCUCUGUCCUCUCCUGUUCAACAGGAAUGGCCUUUGGAUACCUCAACUUUGUGAGAACAGUAAGACUCAGAUGUUGGAAUGACCUGAGCCAGGGACAGAAGGUCCUGUCUAGACAAGGACCCCAGCAUCCCACAGAACCGUCCCCAAAGGAACAAACCUGCUACCUGGAGCUAACGACUGAGCAGGGGAAGAAGGGGGCCAUGAAUCUUCCCUUUGAAUGAGGCUCCAAGCCAAGUGCCAGGCAACUGCUGUGAAUCUCUAAAGGCCCAUCUCAGAGCCACCUCCAGCAAGAAGAUUCUGUAUGGCUCCCUUUCCUCUCCCCACAUCUAAAGCAUUCUUAUUUAAAUGACUUAUGGCCUUGAGACAAACAAAAUGACCUAAGCCUAUCUUUGGGCUUUAGCUAGGAGUAGAGUACUAUUAAAUGAUGUUAAGAACA